rnacentral:rRNA from 1 species
AACGAACGCUGGCGGCAGGCCUAACACAUGCAAGUCGAGCGCCCAGCAAUGGGAGCGGCGGACGGGUGAAUAACACGUGGGAAUAUGCCUUUCGGUACGGAAUAACGCAGGGAAACUUGCGCUAAUACCGUAUACGCCCUCAGGGGGAAAGAUUUAUCGCCGAAAGAUUAGCCCGCGUAGGAUUAGCUAGUUGGUGAGGUAACGGCCCACCAAGGCUACGAUCCUUAGCUGGUUUGAGAGAACGAUCAGCCACACUGGGACUGAGACACGGCCCAGACUCCUACGGGAGGCAGCAGUGGGGAAUAUUGGACAAUGGGCGAAAGCCUGAUCCAGCAAUGCCGCGUGUGUGAAGAAGGCCUGCGGGUUGUAAAGCACUUUCAGUGGGAAGAAAAGACUUGGUGUGAAUAGCGCCGAGUCUUGACGUUACCCAAAGAAGAA